rnacentral:misc_RNA from 1 species
UCACGGUUUGCACCGGCAGUCUGGUUAGAGUCCCCAUCUUUACAUGCUGGUAACUAACCACAGGGGUUGCGCUCGUUAUAGGACUUAACCCAACAUCUCACGACACGAGCUGACGACAGCCAUGCAGCACCUGUGUCCAGGUUCCCUUUCGGGCACACCUCCAUCUCUGGAGGCUUCCUGGCAUGUCAAGGGUAGGUAAGGUUUUUCGCGUUGCAUCGAAUUAAUCCACAUAAUCCACCGCUUGUGCGGGUCCCCGUCAAUUCCUUUGAGUUUUAGCCUUGCGGCCGUAGUCCCCAGGCGGGGCACUUACUGCGUUUGCGGCGGCACCGGGGGGGUCGAUACCCCCGACACCUAGUGCUCAUCGUUUACGGCGUGGACUAC